CCCGACUCGAUCCUGCUAUGUUCUCACCUCCUGAGAAGAAAAAUGGAACAAAAAGGAAAAGGGUGAGCUCAACUAGCCCAGUAAAGAAUAUUAUGACUAAGAUAAUAUACAACAAAUUAUCGUUAGUCUUCAACAGGGAAAAAUCUAAUAGAAUACAAUAGACAACAAGUUUUAGAUCAACAAAUGCAGCGGAAACAGCAAUCCAUUAGAAGAGUCACGUAGAGAAAGAAUUCUACUGUCUUCUAAGGUUUAAAAGUCCAUCAUCAAUAGUUUAUCCCUGUAAUAACAAUCAAUAUACAUCUUUAAUCAUCUUUGCACUACAGGCCAAAGAUAUUCAUUUGUAUCACCAGUUGGUCAUGUUCAUCUCAACACCUGUUCAUCUUUGCACUACAGGCCAAAGAUAUUCAUCAGUUAAUCGUUCAUCUUUGCACUACAGGCCAAAGAUAUUCAUUUAUAUCACCAUUUAGGACUGAGGAUGAUGAAAAACAUUUUUAAAGAAACGAAUCCAGUGAAACAAAAUGACAAGGAUUAAGGAUUAAGGAUUCGUACUUUGUUUUACCCAUGUCCAAAAAUACUUCGAAAAUAAUCAUAUUGGUGUAAAAUUCAAGAAUGAUCAAAACAUGGAUACAAUCAAAGCUAGUAUCCAGAAUAGAUAUUUUGGACAAAAAGAAAAAUUUUUAUUUUUCGGUGAAUAGUGCCGUAUUCGUGAAUAGUGUCGUAUACGUGAAUAGUGCCGUAUACGUGAAUAGUAACCCCGACACAACAAGUUCCAAAUUUGAUAAAAAAGUUCACCAAUACUUCGGCAUAAUGAUAUUGAAGAAAAAAUAUCAUUUAAGAAGAAAAUAAUACCCCUUACCUCAAAAUAACCGUACUUCUGACUGAAUUUCGGUAUAGUGCUGACAGAAACCCGCACCGUAUAGCAACACUCAAAGUAUACUCACAAGAAUACGCUCGAUAAUUUAGAGAGAGAAAGAGAGAAAACUUAGUUUCUGGUGUGAUUUUCAAUUCUAACUUAGCCCUCUAUUUAUAGGAAAAUGUUAGAACGCCAAAGGAGACUAAAUUAAUAAAUUAUUAUUAUUUAAAAUUACAUUUCUACGCAUGCCAUUUGAACACUUCAGCCACCAGCCAACCUUGACCCAAUUUCCAGCAGCCCACAUGUUCAAACAAGAGUGGGUCCCACCCAUUAUUUAAUAAAAAUUAUUUUAUCUUCCGAAACUUCAAUAAUUCGUAGAAAAUAGCUCGUUUAUCAGAAAAAUUCGAAACUCGCGACUUUCCAUGGGAAAUUCCAUUCUCUACAACUUUGCAGAAGAAAAUUUUUCCAAAUUCCAAACAGAAAUUGACCGAAAUCCAUAAACGGGCGAUUUUACAGUCUAUAAUCAAUUUUCGGUCAAGAAUUGUGUCCACCGACACACAAAACAUAUGUUAAACAUUUAAUGCCACAAAAUACUCUACCUCCUCAUAUACUCAUAUAUCCCACAUUCAUUAUAAAAAUAUCACCGUUAAUAUAUUAUUAAAAUAAUAUAUUUAAAUGAAUUAUUUUAUCAGAAAAAGAUAAAAUAUUAAUUUUCAACAAUUGUCACAUUAAAAAUUUUCUCCAUCUAUAUCCACAUAAAAUAAAUAUUUUCUUUAUCAUAAUAAUCAAUAAUUAAUUAUUUAAAAAUAAUAUUACAGAAUCACAGUACUGACAACCAGGCCGUUCCCAGGAAAGAGGGGGCUUUCCAAUAAGGAUUUCUCCUUACUGGCGCGCAAUUAGGUGACCAAACCUCUCCUUAGACAGAACUUUCUAGACAUUGCCAAUAAUGUUAUCUGAUAAUAUUAUUCAAAUAAUAUGAAUUAUUGAUUUGAUAAUGGAAAAUACUGUGUAAUGACAAUUAUUGAAACAACAGCAAUACAAAAUAUCAACGCAGCAAUUAUUGAAUCAAUAAAAUAUAAUAUUGAACAGUAACUACUGUAACAAUUAUUGAGUAGUGCCUUCUUACGUAAGGAUCAAUAAUUCAAUAAUACUGUGCAAUACCGUGUGCUACUGUGCAACCACGCGUAUUACUGUAUUUUAACCACCAGGUAACCCAACAGUGUUAACGGUAACAAUUUACGUCGUUAUUUAUAAAACUCAAUCUUUGUCGUUUUCCUUCAUCCAACCGUUUUCCGUUAUGGGGCCCACCAAUGACUGCGCCGUCGUACGGAGAUUCCCGACAAAAAGAAUAUUCCACGACCAAACGAAUAUUCCCCGACAAUAAUGAAUAUUUUAUAACCACUUGCUUAUUUUGUAAACUUUGCACAUUUCACCCAUAACCAAAGAAUUAUAUCAAAUUAACCCUUAUUAAUUUAGAAUAAUGAAUAAAGGAAAAUUCAAUUUUAUUUAUAAUAAGUUGGGGUCUUACAACCUCCCCUCCUUAUGAAAUUUCGUCCUCGAAAUUGACGUACGUACCUGGUAUAUCGAAAAGGUGAGGGUACCUCGCUUUCAUCUCCGAUUCCAACUCCCAUGUCAUUUCCUCAAUUGCAUGGUUUCUCCACAAAACCUUAACUUGUGGUAUAACCUUCGUGCGUAAGACAUGCUCUUUCCUAUCCAAAAUCUCAACAGGUAUCUCCUCGUAGGUUAAAUCUUCAGCUAUCUCGUCUGGUUCUAAUGCAAUAAUGUGGUUCGGGUCUUUCACAUAUUUACGAAGCAUAGAUAUGUGGAAUACAUUGUGAACACGAGACAUACUUGGAGGUAACGCGAGUCUAUAGGCUACGUUUCCUAUUCGGUCAAGAAUCUCAAAUGGACCAACAAACCUUGGAUUGAGCUUUCCUCUUUUCCCAAAUCUUGUAACUCCUUUCCAUGGAGCAAUACGUAACAAUACAUGAUCUCCAAUAUUAAACUCCACGUCCUUUCUAUGAAGAUCAGCAUAACUCUUUUGUCGAUCUUGUGAAGUUUGAAUACGUUGUCGAAUCAUUUGGAUCUUUUCUGUAGUCAUGCGUACUAAUUCUGGUCCCAACAAUGUUGCUUCUCCCACCUCGUCCCAGCAUACUGGAGAACGACAUUUUCGUCCAUACAACGCCUCAAAUGGAGCCAUGCCUAUACUUGCUUGAUAACUGUUGUUGUAGGAGAAUUCCACCAGUGGUAGGUACUUAUCCCAACUUCCUUUGAAAUCUAGGACACAGAGUCUUAAUAGAUCUUCAAGGGUUUGAAUAGUCCUCUCUGAUUGUCCGUCCGUUUGAGGAUGGUAUGCUGAACUGAAUCGUAAAUCCGUGCCCAUAGCUUUCUGCAAGCUAACCCAAAAUCUUGAAGUGAAUCUCGGGUCACGAUCCGAAACUAUGGAUACUGGCAUGCCAUGCAAUCGUACAAUCUCAUUCACGUACAUACGAGCAAGACGUUCAAGGGGAUAAGUCUCGCGUAUCGGUAAGAAAUGGGCAGACUUGGUUAAUCUAUCAACAAUAACCCAAAUUGCAUCUACGCCUUGAGAAACUUUGGGAAGACCUGUAACAAAAUCCAUAGUAAUGUGUUCCCAUUUCCAUUCCGGAAUCUCAAGUGGUUGCAAUGGACCUUUUGGCACUUGAUGCUCCGCCUUUACACGUUGACAGGUUAAACAUCUUGAGAUAAACUCCGCAAUCUCUCUCUUCAUAUUGUUCCACCAAAAUGUAUGUCGAAUAUCAUGAUACAUUUUGGUACUCCCAGGAUGGAUUGCAAACGGGGUGUUGUGUGCCUCCAUCAUGAUUUUAUGCUUCAGGUCAGAAUCGUUAGGAACGCAAAGUCUAGAAUUGACUCGAAGUAUUCCUUCCUCAUCAAUUCUUGCUUCCGGAAUAGCUCCUUCUUGCACUUUCUUCUUCAUACGCAUCAGCCCCAGGUCCGUAGCUUGAGCAGCUUUAACUUUAUCGAUUAAAGUCGGUUCUACUUGUAUAUUCGCCAUCAUUAUGUGGGUCCCUGGAGUCUUUAAUUCUACCUCCAUCCUUUGCAAGUCAUACAAAAUGGGCCUUUGCGUUGACAAUAUCGCACUCGUACUUGCAUAUGAUCUUCUACUUAAUGCGUCAGCUACUACGUUCGCUUUUCCAGGAUGAUAUUGAAUAGUGUGAUCGUAAUCUUUUAACAGCUCCAGCCAACGUCGUUGCCGCAUGUUGAGUUCUUUUUGGGUGAAGAAAUAUUUGAGGCUUUUAUGGUCCGUAUAAAUCUCCACUUUCUCUCCAUACAAGUAGUGUCUCCAUAUCUUCAACGCGAAUACGACUGCUGCCAACUCUAGAUCAUGAGUAGGAUAAUUCCUCUCAUAUUCUUUGAGUUGUCGUGAGGCAUAGGCUAUGACUUUCCCAUGUUGCAUGAGAACACAUCCUAACCCCUUGCCAGAAGCAUCGCUGUAGAUAACAAAUCCAUCUGAACCAGAUGGUAUUGUCAGAACAGGUGCCGAAAUGAGUCUCCUCUUGAGCUCUUGGAAGCUCUUCUCGCAUUCCUCGCUCCAUAAGAAUUUUGCAUCCUUCCGAGUCAGCUGAGUUAACGGAGUAGCGAUUCGAGAAAAUCCUUCCACAAAUCUCCGAUAAUAACCAGCUAAGCCCAGAAAGCUGCGUACUUCGGUCACCGACUUCGGUUGCUCCCAACUUUGUAUUGCUUCAAUCUUCGCCGGGUCAACAGAUACUCCUUGUUUUGACACCACGUGCCCAAGGAAUGCUACUUCCUCAAGCCAGAACUCGCAUUUCUUCAGCUUGGCAUAAAGCUUGUGUUCACGAAGUCUUUGUAGUACCAGCUUCAAAUGGUGCUCAUGAUCUUCACGGCUUUUGGAAUAGAUGAGGAUGUCAUCAAUAAAGACAACAACGAACUGAUCCAAAUAUUCCUUAAAUACACGGUUCAUCAUAUCCAUGAAAGCAGCAGGAGCAUUAGUCAAUCCAAAAGACAUGACCAAGAAUUCAUAAUGCCCGUAUCGAGUCCUGAAUGCCGUCUUUGGAAUAUCCUCAGUUUUAAUCUUCAGCUGAUGAUAUCCAGAACGAAGAUCGAUCUUUGAAAAGAAUUGCGCUCCUUGUAACUGGUCGAACAGGUCAUCAAUGCGAGGUAGCGGAUACCUAUUCUUGAUGGUGACAUGGUUCAAUUCUCGAUAGUCAAUACAAAGUCGCAUACUCCCGUCUUUCUUCUUUACGAAUAAAACAGGAGCACCCCAAGGAGACGUACUAGGACGAAUGAAACCGAUGUCUAAUAACUCCUGUAGUUGGACUUUUAACUCCUGAAGUUCAAUAGGAGCCAUUCGAUAUGGGGUUUUAGAAAUGGGCUUUGUACCCGGUUCAAGGUCAAUAAAGAAUUCAACAUCACGUUCUGGGGGUAGACCGGGAAGCUCUUCAGGAAAUACAUCAGGGAAUUCUCUAACCACAGAAAUAUUAUUCAAAUCUGACUUGUCUUUAUUCAAAUCCAUAACAUGGGCUAAGAAAGCUUGACAUCCGUUUUUCAAUAAACGAAUAGCUUUGUGGCUUGAUAUGACAGUGACUGAUUUUAGUGGUUUAGUGGUUUGAAUUCGUAUGACAGGUUGGUUAGGAAUAUGAAAACUAACAACCUUACGAAAACAAUCAAUUUUGGCAUGAUGAGUGGUUAACCAAUCAAUUCCUAAAAUCACAUCAAAAGCAAGUAUCUUUAAAGAGAUAAGAUCAACAGGUAAUGUGAUAGUGCCAACUUGGAUCAUGCAAGAUUUAUAAACUGUAGAUGUAACGAAGGUUUCACCCAACGGAGUUUCAACAGAUAAAUCAAAAUCUAAUUUCUCCGGAGUCAAGUUUAAACGUUGAGCACAAGCAGGAGAGAUAAAAGAAUGGGUAGAACCGGUAUCUAGUAAGGUAUAAACUUCGCAAGAAUUCAAGAUUAGCUUACCCGUGAUCACCUCGUUUGGGUUCCUCACGUUUUGUCCAGUCACGACAAACGCUCUUCCAGGAACCGCUGAUUUCGACUUAUCCGGGACAGCCCUUGGAAUCACCACUCCUGCUGAACUUGGUUUCGCGAUAGUACAAUCUCGAGCGAUGUGGCCUUCCUUUCCACAGUUGUAACAUACCUUGGAUUGUUGUGGACAGUUUGGGCUGAUAUGUCCCUCCUUCCCGCAUUUGUAACAUCUAACUGGCGGUCGUUCUCCUCCCCUAGCAUUUGUUGUUGGUGCUGGUGCUGCCGUUGAUAUCUUCCCGUCAUUGUUGAAUCUUCUCUUUCUGAAAUUUCCACUUGAGUCACCUCUCCUAUUAUCAUGUCCACGAUUACCACCUGAGUGGUUACCGCCUUUGUCCGUAUUCUUUCCUCCUCGCUGGUUAUCAUCGUUCUGAUGACUACCCUGAUUGUGGUCCCUCGGUUGAGUAUACUCACUAUCUCGCUCUAAUAACUGAGCCCUGUUGACAACAUCUGAAUACAGAGAAAAUUUAUGAGAGAUAAGGUAUUGACGAAUCUCUGGUUUUAGACCUCUCAGAAACAUACGCGUCAUUCGUUCCUCAUUCUCCACCAAAUGAGGUGCAAACCUGGAUAAUUCUGCGAACCUUGCCUCGUACUGAGACACCGUCAUGUUGUUCUGUUCGAGUCUAAUAAACUCUACCUCCUUCAUAUGACGAAUACUUUCUGGAAAGUACUUGUCAUUGAACAGUUUCUGAAAUCUUUCCCAAGACAUGUUAAGUGCAUCUGGCUGGGUACGCUUCACAGAUUCCCACCAGUAAUCUGCUUCACCACGAAACAUAAAGGUGGCGAAUGGAACCUUCUGUUCCUCCGUGCACCCCAAGACAUCGAAUAUCUUGGUAAUUUGCUUGACCCACGUUUCUGCCUUGAUCGGAUCCGGCUUUCCAUGGAAAUCUGGUGGUCCCAACUCUUUGAAUUGUUUGGCCGUGACAAACCGCACGUUACUAUCAUUUCCUCCCGUAUUUUGUACACGAGUCUCCCUCGUCUGAUUUUGCAUGAACUGCAAAAAGCUUCUAAACAUCCCGUCGUUCAUCAUUUGCUCAGUGGCGUUGUUCACAGGAGGAACAUUGCCAGCCUGUUGCACGUUCUCCUCGUUGGUGAGUACCGGCGUCUCCACGGUCUCAUAAACUCCAUUGUUAACGUUCUCAGCAGCCAUUCUUAAAUACUGCCAUAAAACAAGGGUUAAUUAAACAAAUUAACAUAUCACAUAAUAUCCUAUAUUAUGACCGACCAACAAAUAAGCUUAGGUAGGACACACUAGCGAAGGAUUUACUCGUCUCUCCCCUCCUAGUUCUAUUCCCCGAUCUCCGCCAGAGAUCAUAUCCCUAAGCUCUGAUACCAACUGUGACGCCCCCAAAAUAGGUAUACAACACCCAUUCUGAGUCGCCAAAAUACAUGGUAUAGAAAGCAAACUACAACUUUGACAAUACAGAUGUCGUGUAGAAUACGACAAUACAACUGUGAGUUUGAAUACAAAUAUUGUCUUCUAGACAAUAUACACACCCAAAUAAGUCCUCAUUAAUUAUUCAUACACUAUUUUACAGAAAUAGUGAGGACAGCUAAAACAUCUUCCUAGAACCAUCACUCCAUACCCCGACUCGAUCCUGCUAUGUUCUCACCUCCUGAGAAGAAAAAUGGAACAAAAAGGAAAAGGGUGAGCUCAACUAGCCCAGUAAAGAAUAUUAUGACUAAGAUAAUAUACAACAAAUUAUCGUUAGUCUUCAACAGGGAAAAAUCUAAUAGAAUACAAUAGACAACAAGUUUUAGAUCAACAAAUGCAGCGGAAACAGCAAUCCAUUAGAAGAGUCACGUAGAGAAAGAAUUCUACUGUCUUCUAAGGUUUAAAAGUCCAUCAUCAAUAGUUUAUCCCUGUAAUAACAAUCAAUAUACAUCUUUAAUCAUCUUUGCACUACAGGCCAAAGAUAUUCAUUUGUAUCACCAGUUGGUCAUGUUCAUCUCAACACCUGUUCAUCUUUGCACUACAGGCCAAAGAUAUUCAUCAGUUAAUCGUUCAUCUUUGCACUACAGGCCAAAGAUAUUCAUUUAUAUCACCAUUUAGGACUGAGGAUGAUGAAAAACAUUUUUAAAGAAACGAAUCCAGUGAAACAAAAUGACAAGGAUUAAGGAUUAAGGAUUCGUACUUUGUUUUACCCAUGUCCAAAAAUACUUCGAAAAUAAUCAUAUUGGUGUAAAAUUCAAGAAUGAUCAAAACAUGGAUACAAUCAAAGCUAGUAUCCAGAAUAGAUAUUUUGGACAAAAAGAAAAAUUUUUAUUUUUCGGUGAAUAGUGCCGUAUUCGUGAAUAGUGUCGUAUACGUGAAUAGUGCCGUAUACGUGAAUAGUAACCCCGACACAACAAGUUCCAAAUUUGAUAAAAAAGUUCACCAAUACUUCGGCAUAAUGAUAUUGAAAAAAAAAUAUCAUUUAAGAAGAAAAUAAUACCCCUUACCUCAAAAUAAUCGUACUUCUGACUGAAUUUCGGUAUAGUGCUGACAGAAACCCGCACCGUAUAGCAACACUCAAAGUAUACUCACAAGAAUACGCUCGAUAAUUUAGAGAGAGAAAGAGAGAAAACUUAGUUUCUGGUGUGAUUUUCAAUUCUAACUUAGCCCUCUAUUUAUAGGAAAAUGUUAGAACGCCAAAGGAGAC
rnacentral:lncRNA from 1 species